AGUGGGGAAUAUUGCGCAAUGGGGGAAACCCUGACGCAGCGACGCCGCGUGCGGGAAGAAGGCCUUCGGGUCGUAAACCGCUGUCAGGAGGGAAGAAACUGUUAGGGUAUAAUACGCCCUUUCACUGACGGUACCUCCAAAGGAAGCACCGGCUAACUCCGUGCCAGCAGCCGCGGUAAUACGGAGGGUGCGAGCGUUAAUCGGAAUCACUGGGCGUAAAGCGCACGUAGGCGGCGCAUCAAGUCAGGCGUGAAAGCCCUCGGCUCAACCGGGGAAUUGCGUUUGAAACUGGUGUGCUGGAGUCUCGGAGAGGUUGGCGGAAUUCCAGGUGUAGGAGUGAAAUCCGUAGAUAUCUGGAGGAACACCGGUGGCGAAGGCGGCCAACUGGACGAGUACUGACGCUGAGGUGCGAAAGCGUGGGAGCAAACAGGAUUAGAUACCCUGGUAGUCCACGCUGUAAACGAUGGAUAUUAGGUGUCGAAGUUACCUUUCGGUGCCGCCAGUU
rnacentral:rRNA from 1 species